GAUUUGUAUUAAGUUAUAUCACAUAUCCUUAGAACUACGUAAAAAUUCUAACUCCAUCCGUUUUUCGGGUAAACAAUGCUAUUGUUAAAUUCCUGACAUUCUAUAUUCUAUGGGAGAAAAAACGUGUAGUAGGUUUUCAUUUAAAGAAGUUUCUUUUUGAGUAUUUUAUCUAUAUAUUUGUGUGAUGAAUGUGCAAACAUAUGUCUGCUAUUAUAGCUGGAAGACUUGCCAACUGAGCACUUCUGCUUUGGUGGACUACUUAUAUAAUAAAGAUAAUGAAGAUAAAAUUCUCUCUUUUUUCUGUUUCUUAAACUCUGGCCCAAAGAAAGAGAGAGAGAAAAUGACACUCAGUCAGAUAGUUUAAUGAAGCUAAAAUUCUCUCUUUCUCUGUUUCUUAUUUGUGUUUGUUUAAGGUCCUUUGGGUUAGAUUUUACUGUUGAAUCUCCUUUUAUUUUGCUUAAUUGCUAAGGUAUGAGACUCUUUUAUUCAUUACACGUCACAGUUGUCUUUCAUUUGUUUCUAUUUUUAUUUAUUUGUUUUCUGAGUGUCCUAAUUGAUACAUACAUGCACUUGUAAUAGCUUUAGAAGAACUUGUAGGCAGCCUGCAGGGAUCCUCAGAAACAAUGGGAUACUGUUUAACGAAUCUACUCAAAAGCGUAUAACAGAAACGCCUAACUUUGUUGGGAUGGAGAAAGAAUAAGCGCAUUUCCAACUUUCCUGAAUGAGGUUGUGAUUGCACAGCUGCUCAAUUGGGUUUCAUGGCUUUUGUUGGAGAAGAGGCAAAUAUCACUCAAGAUUAAAUUCAUGCAGUGGGAGAGUAUAUGGUGACUCUAUCCUACUGUCAUUGUUCUUGUUGCUCUAAGUUUACAGUUUUUGCCUUUGUAGGAGCGAUGUUAGUGUUGCAAGCUACACUGAAAACUGGUGUUUCGCAUAGGUAAAAAAUUACAUGUAUGCUGAAGCUGCAAAAGACAUUUGUGAUUUGAUUCAAUAUGAACAUAAAGUAGACUUUCAAAUUGUACAGCAGAAGUUAAUCUAUAAGUGAAAUUUAUUCUCCUUACGAAA